rnacentral:snRNA from 13 species
AUACUUACCUGUCAUUAUCAAUAUGUGAUCAUAAAGGAAUAUUUGAUUUCAAACAUUUCAGACCAUUGCACUUUUAGGUUUGUUUUUUUUAUGAUCUUCCAAAAAUAGGAUACAAGUGACAAUUUAUGAUAGUCGUGGAUGUUGCGCUUGCGCACUCCCACA